rnacentral:lncRNA from 1 species
AAGAUGUGCAUGUGUGGUGGAGUAAAUGAUAGUGAUGGUAAAAAUGUAUAAGUGAUGAUAAAACUUACUUCUCAUUGCUCCUCAUAUUGCUAUCUCUCCUCCUCUCUUGAUCUUUGCCUUGGGAGAACAUAGGCUAUCUCUUUUUUUUUCAGGUGGGUAGUAAAUACCCCUAAUUCUACUGUCGGACACUUGUCUAUUUUUCCGCUCAGGUGGGCAUCUUUGUACCCCUAAUUCUACUCUGGACACUUGUCCAUUUUUAUCUCUCGUCUCACUCUGUUUUUUUCUUUUUCGAGGUUCUGGGCACUUGCCCCUUUUUAUUUCCUCGCAUAUUUUUGCAUAACCCAUGCCUCUUCUGCAUUGAAUCUUUUUGGAGAGAGAGAAUAACAACACUUGGGACAGUGAGUGAUAAUAUUUUUAGCAAUUUUAAUGAAUGGUGAUGGAUGGUGUAGUAGGUGUGUGCAAGUGAAUAUCUUAAUUUAACCACAUGAAAAGCUCCUAUGGGUCUACACAGCUCGAUCAAACUUAAUGUGAAUAUAAGUAGCAAAAGAUGUUAUAGCAAGUAUGGCUGUGGUAGGAAUUUUUUCAUGCUAGGAACUCAUCAUGUGAUUUGCAAGUUUUCAAAAUAAAUCUCCAGAACUUAGUGUA